CUGAUUAUUCGCAGCCCACAAAAUAAGGUGGGUUAGCGCGCGUGCUGCGCAGCUAAAACAACCCGCCCUGGAGGCGGGUUGU
rnacentral:sRNA from 2 species